GGAAGGUGUCCCCGAUCCAAAGCAAAUAGACCUCUGCUGUGAAGAAUAAGGAACCGGCUAAGAGACCGAGUUGUGUUGUUCUCGUAACGCACUGCACUGAGAGCAGACCAAGGCGAAUGAGCUGUAACUGCACUUGGACACCGAUCGUCCCGAUGCUGUCGCUCAGCAGUUUGAAGCAGUCGUUCCUACCUGCCGUGGAGAGGACCACCUAACCAGACACCACUCGAUGCUGUGAACAGAUGGGAUGCAUGAACCAAUCCAGGAUUAAU